UUAAGUGAAAAGACCAAAAAAAAUUUAAAUUAGAGGUGAUAAAUCCACAAUCAACCCCAUAUCUCACCUACAAUCCAUCUAACUCAACCAUCAUUCAUUCUUAACAUACUCACCAUUUUCCCUCCAAUCAAAACCAUAACUCAAGGAAAUCUAUAAUCAAGCUAUUCACACACCUUUACACUGAACCAACAAUCAAAUAUCGCGGCAACCAUAAUAAAAGCAAACAAAAAUUCCAAAAAAAAAACAAAACAAAACAAAAAGGAUAAGUCACUUGUUUCAACGAGCGCCAAACAAGACUUUCAAAAGCAAAGGGACAAAAUAAAUCAAAGAAAAGAGAAUCAAAAUAUCAACAAAAAAGGAGACUCAAACGUGUUAAAUUCAGUCAUGAGUUAUCAGAGAGUUCUAGGGAUGAAGGUUCAAUCCAAAGCUCAAGGGGAAAGUCUCAGAGCGCUGGCCGAGGCAUGUUGAUAGGCCAAUGUACCAAGUUGCAUGUGGUCCAUCAAACCAACAUGUGGCUAACUUGGAUGACCACACUUGUUCAUGAAGAAAGUGGGAUCUAACUGUAUUCCAUGCAUCCAUGUCGUUUAGUGAUGAUGAUGAUACAAGAUAGGCCAAAGAGUUAUGUGCACCACUAUUACAGCAAGAAUACUCAGAUAAGUAUCUACUCACACCACAAUUAGAGCAAGAAUACUCAGAUAAGUAUCUACUCACACCACAUCAAUCCAGCCAGAUGAGCAACAUAAUGGAGAACGAUUCAGAAUAUGGAACCAGUACUGCCACCAGUGCUAAGGAGGCCACCAGGCAGUAGAUAAAACCGCAACUAUAGGUGAAGGAUGGUGGAGGAAGGGCAUGCAUAUGAAGUGCAAGAAAUGUGGUUAAUUAGGCCACAAUGUGAGAACUUCUAAAGGAAAAGUUGGAGGCAGCAAAAGAUCCAAUACAUCUCAAUCCCGAUCUAAAGGAAGAAAACAUGGUAGUGGAGGUAGAGCUCAAGCAACAAAUCCCAAUCAGGCUCCAUCUUCACCUCAAGAUCCAGCUUGAAGUCAGUCUCUAUCAACAAAUUAGGGUGCAACAAAUCCUUUCCCCCUCCAAUUUCUUCAUUUUUCCUUAACAAACCGAUUAUAAUUACCCUUGAACGAGGACUCAUCGGAGGAUUGAACCAGCUGAAGUAUUGACAAAAUCUUUGCAAUCCAUAGUUCUUUCAUGGUUAAAUUUUGCCAUUACUCUUGUACUUCGCAAAAGUUAUGGGUUUAGUCCUUAUACUUUGCAAAACUUAUGGGUUUAGUCCUUAUACUUUAAUUUGAUCCUUUUUAAUAGUUGUACUUUUUGAAUUAGUCAAUUUUAGUCCCUGUUGUGACAUCCCA